GACGGAGGAUGCAAGUGUUAUCCGGAAUCAUUGGGCGUAAAGAGCGUGUAGGCGGCCAGGUAGGUCGGUUGUGAAAACUGGAGGCUCAACCUUCAGAGGUCGACCGAAACCAUCUGGCUAGAGUCCGGGAGAGGAGAGUGGAAUUCCUGGUGUAGCGGUGAAAUGCGCAGAUAUCAGGAAGAACACCCGUGGCGAAAGCGGCUCUCUGGAACGGUACUGACGCUGAGACGCGAAAGCGUGGGGAGCGAACAGG
rnacentral:rRNA from 1 species